rnacentral:misc_RNA from 1 species
UUAAGUUCAGCGGGUCUUCCCACCUGAUCCGAGGUCAACCUUGGGUAAAUAAGGCUUUUAACGGCCGGAACCCGCAGCACGCCCUGAGCGAGGUGUAACUACUACGCUCGGAGUGACUAGCGAGCCCGCCACUGGUUUCAGGGCCUGCGGCAGCCGCAGGUCCCCAACACAAGCCGGGGGCUUGAGGGUUGAGAUGGCGC